rnacentral:rRNA from 1 species
CGGCGGACGGGUGAGUAACGCGUGGGUAACCUGCCUUACACAGGGGGAUAACAGUUAGAAAUGACUGCUAAUACCGCAUAAGACCCCGGUACCGCAUGGUACAGAGGUAAAACUGAGGUGGUGUAAGAUGGACCCGCGUCUGAUUAGGUAGUUGGUGAGGUAACGGCUCACCAAGCCGACGAUCAGUAGCCGGCCUGAGAGGGUGGACGGCCACAUUGGGACUGAGACACGGCCCAGACUCCUACGGGAGGCAGCAG